GGUUUGCCAGGCAAGAAGGGUGUUGAGGGGAAAACUGGAAUCCCUGGACCAAAGGUGUAAUAUACUGUUUAUUCAUUCAGAUGCAGUGAAAUGCUUCGGUGCUGCAAAUGUGAUCCUUACAGCUGUAGUGGUUCACUUAAUAAAUGUAAUGCUGUCUCUGUUGUGUGUUUGUGUAACUCAGGGCAGUCACGGUGAGGAGGGAAAGUUUGGUCUUUGCGGAAUAAAAGGAGACAUGGGCAUGAGAGGUCAAAAGGGUGCAAAAGGAGAGCCUGGGACAAGAGGCACAAUGGGGACAGUGGGGAAGGUGGGCUUCAUUGGCACUCCAGGGUCUAAAGGUCGACCUGGACCUGCUGGUCAACCCGGUCUUCCAGGAACUAAAGGAAUUCAGGGGUCAAAGGGAAAAGGAGCCCAGCCUGGAAGGAAAGGAAACAAAGGAGCUCUCGGAAAACCUGUGAGUUCACUUAAUUGA
rnacentral:lncRNA from 15 species